rnacentral:lncRNA from 1 species
AAUUUUGUAAAAUGAUGAUGCCAUGCUUCAUGGGCGUGCAUAGGCCCAUGGAAUGAUGGUUUGAAAGUCCAAAUGAAUGAUCAGAUGCUUUGAAAAUAGAUUGGAUUGCAAGGUACAUGUGCAUUGUCACUUGAAUAUUGAUCCAUGCCAAAUGAUUUUAGCCUGUUUAAGCCACGCGCAGCCUAUGCAUUUCUCAUCCAAAAUGCAUGAAUUUGAGCUCUUUGGAAAGGUGAGAUCAAGAGGAACAAGUUUGAUGUUGAACACUUUUU